AGGCCAAUCAAACCGGGAGAUACUGGUUCUCCCCGAAAGCUAUUUAGGUAGCGCCUCGUGAACUCAUCUUCGGGGGUAGAGCACUGUUUCGACUAGGGGUCAUCCCGACUUACCAACUCGAUGCAAACUGCGAAUACCGAAGAAUGUUAUCACGGGAGACACACGGCGGGUGCUAACGUCCGUCGUGAAGAGGGAAACAACCCAGACCGCCAGCUAAGGUCCCAAAGUCAUGGUUAAGUGGGAAACGAAGUGGGAAGGCUCAGACAGCCAGGAUGUUGGCUUAGAAG
rnacentral:rRNA from 1 species